AGACGACUGGCGGCGUGCCUAACACAUGCAAGUCGAACGGGGCAAUUCCUUCGGGGAUUGCUUAGUGGCGAACGGGUGAGUAACGCGUGAGAAACCUGCCUUUCAGUGGGGGACAACAGUUGGAAACGACUGCUAAUACCGCAUAAUGUUAUUUGGGGGCAUCCCCGAAUAACCAAAGAUUUAUUGCUGAAAGAUGGUCUCGCGUCUGAUUAGCUAGUUGGUGAGGUAACGGCUCACCAAGGCGACGAUCAGUAGCCGGUCUGAGAGGAUGAACGGCCACAUUGGGACUGAGAUACGGCCCAG
rnacentral:rRNA from 1 species